GCCUGUAGAAGUUUACAUUCCUUAGAUACAUUGCUGGAGGUUGUGUUUGUAGAAUACCCGGGUAUUUGUUGUAGAGUAUAGGUUGUAGAGUCCAGCUUUCCAAGUAUUUGGAUAGAAUUGGUUGCAGAUAUUGAAUCUGUUAUCACCGUGGUGAUGGCGUUGGUAUUUGUCUGCGCUUGUUUGUUUUUUUCCAUGAAACAUUUUUACACAGUUUAUGAUGUGUAUAGAUUGGAUACUCUCCGAUAUUCUUUUACGGAAUAAAUUAAUUGACAGCAUUUCCAAGACAUUGUCUUAAGUGACAUGGAUCCCAUUACAGUAAAUGUUAUGUUGAUACAGCAAUCGAAGUGGAUUCUCAAGAACGCCU